AGAUUGAACGCUGGCGGCAGGCCUAACACAUGCAAGUCGAGCGGCAGCACGGGUACUUGUACCUGGUGGCGAGCGGCGGACGGGUGAGUAAUGCCUAGGAAUCUGCCUGAUAGUGGGGGAUAACGUUCGGAAACGGACGCUAAUACCGCAUACGUCCUACGGGAGAAAGUGGGGGAUCGUUCGGACCUCACGCUAUCAGAUGAGCCUAGGU
rnacentral:rRNA from 1 species